rnacentral:snoRNA from 1 species
AGAGGUGUUCCAGAUAUGGCUGCUGUGUCACAUGUGUGUGUCACAUAGCUCAGAGGCUAUGUCUGUGCUCAGUGUACUGACAAUGAACAUCUGAUUAGUAGUCUAAUAUU